AGUGAACGCUGGCGGUAGGCCUAACACAUGCAAGUCGAACGGCAGCACAGUAAGAGCUUGCUCUUACGGGUGGCGAGUGGCGGACGGGUGAGGAAUACAUCGGAAUCUACUUUUUCGUGGGGGAUAACGUAGGGAAACUUACGCUAAUACCGCAUACGACCUACGGGUGAAAGCAGGGGAUCUUCGGACCUUGCGCGAUUGAAUGAGCCGAUGUCGGAUUAGCUAGUUGGCGGGGUAAAGGCCCACCAAGGCGACGAUCCGUAGCUGGUCUGAGAGGAUGAUCAGCCACACUGGAACUGAGACACGGUCAAGACUCAUACGGGAGGCAGCAGUGGGGAAUAUUGGACAAUGGGCGCAAGCCUGAUCCAGCCAUACCGAGUGGGUGAAGAAGGCCUUCGGGUUGUAAAGCCCUUUUGUUGGGAAAGAAAAGCAGCAGGUUAAUACCCCGCUGUUCUGACGGUACACAAAGAAUAAGCACCGGCUAACUUCGUG
rnacentral:rRNA from 1 species